GGCACCACCUGUAGUCUCACCUGAACUGAAACUGCAGAAGUCACCUGAGAUGUUCUCCAAUCGUUUCCAUACAAUUCAUGAAAUUGCUCCCAGUAAGCUCACUCACUAGCAAGCACAAGAUGGAUGUCAGUGAGUGUGAUUCAGAUGCCAUACCAUGGCAAACAUGGAGCCCGCUCAGAUCACUUUGGCAAUUAGGAGCACAUUAAACACCACACGCAUUAUCCAGCAGUAUAUGCAGCACCAGAACCUGGCAAAGCGAUACCGGACGAAUAGGCGACAUCAGCGCGGUGACAAGAGUGAUGAGGACAUGGACACAGACUUCUCUUAAAGCCUGGGCCCUGGCAAUGUGGGCAUCAUGGUGCU